rnacentral:rRNA from 1 species
AUGCCACCGGAUAGAGACAUUGAGUUUUUGAUUGAACUAUUGCCAGGAACAGGCCCGAUAUCGAAACGACCAUACAGGAUGCCAGCACAAGAUUUGACAGAAAUCAAGAAGCAGAUUAAGGAGCUAUUAGAUAAAGGUUAUAUACGCCCAAGCUCUUCACCUUGGGGAUCACCCGUUUUGUUAGUGGAGAAGAAGGAUGGAUCUUUGAGAAUGGUUGUUGAUUAUCGUGAAUUGAAUGCGGUAACAAUCAAGAACAAGUACCCAUUACCAAUGAUAAAUGAUCUGUUUGAUCGUUUGCAAGGAGCCAAAGUGUUUUCCAAGAUCGACUUGUGA